rnacentral:tRNA from 1 species
AAUAAAGAACCUAAAAAUAAGGAUUAUUUUGAUAGAAUAAACAUUGUAUGAAUCAUACCUUUAUUA